ensembl:miRNA mir-4916 ncRNA
GUAAGUGGUUUUUGUAGAUCAAAAUAGUUAAGAAAUUUUUUGAUCUACAAUUUUCGCACUUACAG